GGUGGGGAUGCACGGCGCGAGAAGGAGAAGAUUUUUUUCAAUAAAAAGGAUUCUUUCGUUGGAUGUAAGCAAUGGAGUGCGCGUCAAGAGGGCUGAAGAUGAAGAACAAAAGCAGAUGUUCGCCUUGGGUGUCAUCAGCAAUUGUAUGUCUUUGAUUUGCCACCGCAGCAUAACAACCAGGAGGCAUUCACUGGGUGAAGAAGGGCCAGGACAAUAUUAAAAGGCGGCGCUUGGGACUGCUGAAGACUCCGCGGAACCACCGAGGACUGAGGAGAGCGUAGCCGAGGGACACCGAAAACAGCCUAGGAGUUGGGACCGACAGACGACACCUGAACUGCUGAGCACUACCCGGGGAGCCAUGCUGCUGCUAGUGGAGGCGUUCUUCGCGGGCUCUCACCGGCAGCUGAUCACCACACUGAUGGACGGUCUACGGCUCGAUGAGACCAACUGUCGGCUGGUGACCAUGUCGGGUCGGAAGUGGCACUGGCGCGCGCGGACCUCGGCGCUGCACCUGGCCCAGCAUAUCCCCCGCGAGACGUACAGCGUACUGUUCACCUCGUCGGUGACUCCUCUGGCCGAGCUCUGCGGCCUCCGACCGGACCUGGCCGCCGUGCGAAAGGUGCUCUACUUCCACGAGAACCAGCUAGUGUAUCCGGUGAGGAAGGCAGCCGACACCGACUUCCAGUACGGCUACAACCAGAUCACUGGCUGCCUGGUCGCCGACGAGGUGGUGUUCAACUCUCGGUACAACAUGGAGUCGUUCCUCAACAACAUAGACCACUUCAUGAAGACCCAGCCGGACUACCGUCCCAGGGGACUGGCUGAACAGAUACGGGUGAAGUGCCGGGUGCUGUACUUCCCGCUGUGUGUUCCGGAGACUGUCCUGGCGCUGCGGGAAGAACGGUCCGAGACAGACCAGGACCGGGAGAGCGGCGGAGACCGGGACCGGGACCAGGACCAGGAGAGCACCGAGGACCGGGACGGGGACCAGGAGAGUGCUGAAGACCAGAACCACAGCUCAGAGUCGGAGCGCCCGCUCCACAUUCUGUGGCCGCACAGAUGGGAGCAUGACAAGAACCCGUCGCUGUUUUUCGACACGCUGACGCGGCUACACGAUGAGGGGGUGCCGUUUCGCUUGUCGGUGCUGGGAGAGCGGUGUCGGGAGGUACCGGACGUGUUCGAGCGAGCACGGACCCAGCUGGAGGACCAUAUCGAGCACUGGGGUUACCUGCCGUCCAGGGAGGACUACUGGCGCGUGCUGGGAGCGGCUGACGUGGUCGUCUCCACGGCCGAUCACGAGUUCUUCGGCGUCGCCGUCCUGGAGGCGGUGUGGUGCGGCUGUCUGCCACUCUGCGCGGACCGGCUCGUCUACCCGGAGUGGUUCGAGCGGCCGCUGCUGUUCCGCACCCCGGCCCAGCUGCUGAAGCGGCUGAGACGGCUGUGCCGGCGGCCGGGGGCGGCUCGCGCCGAGCGGCGCAGACUCCGACCGGACCUGGAGCGGUUCGGGUGGCCGGCGCUGAGAGAGCCGUACCGUGAACUGCUCGGCCUGCCGCCCGAACGGGACGGGGAAGAGGACCGUGAGGGAGACGGGCACGGGGAAUGUGAGGGUGGCAGUCACAGUGGUGGAAACAUAGGAGGAGACAGGGACAGUGACAGAGAUGUGGACAGAGAAUCAGGCGAAGGAACUGGCGGUAAUGGAGACGGUUGUGAAUGUGAUGUUGAUAAGGAGUUAGGUAGAUAACCACUUGUGAAUUGUGGGGAGACCGACGCGUCAAGUGCGCGCGAACUGUCGGAUCGUGACCUGCGGCGAGAUAGCGCGAGUGUUGCUAGUUUCACCGUUCUGACAAUGGAGCUGUGCGCCGCGUGUUGACGAGUGGAUUUGCAUCAUCCCCCAGGUAGUUUUUCUGCUCUGCACUCAACAUUUUUUAAAGCUAGAAGCCUGAUUUUUCGUAAAGCUGCUCCUCUAUCCCUUCUCAGCGUUCACUGAAAUUUUCAAGUUUCUGUGGUUUCUGGUUUCGGAGACCUUGUUUUUCAGGUCAUGUCAUGACCCACAUGACCAAUACUCAACAUCUUGCGUUGGCUAUCGCUCUAGUGAGCUUUUGACACCUUGAUUUCGGUACGUUUUUGCUAGUCUUACCUUCCACCUAUCAUGGAACAUGUUAUUCUACGAUGUGUCGAUCUUGGGGUCAGGGCCAAGGUCAAGCUAGGUCAUCUAAAAACAUUGUAUUUUAGGUUUGCUGAAUUUACUUUUCGUUAAGUCUUUUGACUGCAUUUUUGGUAAAAGCUUCUCAGACCAUGAUCUCAUGUAAUAGGGACA
rnacentral:misc_RNA from 1 species